rnacentral:misc_RNA from 1 species
AAGAAAACCUCAAAAUUAACGAUAACUUCUAUAGACAGGACUGUACAUGCAACUCUCAGCAUCCUUCACAAGGUUCUCUGGACGAGGGAGACGUGUAGCCAGCCCAAGUUCAUAUGCCUUAGCAGCUACAUUAGCAGCAAUAUGUGCUGAAAUUUUUCUGAUGUUAGAGAAGGGUGGGUAAGUCAGUCCAUUGGCAUAGUUCUCCUCUGAAACUUGUCCAGCCAAGGCUUCCGAGGCUGCCAGAAGCAU